GCUUGGGGCCCAUUAGAGAACUCUACCAAUGCACUGUGAAACUCAGUAUUUUGAGCUUCCAAGGACUGCAACCUAACUACAUAUUGACUACAAGAAUGACUUCAGGUGGUGGAGAUGAGAUGAGCUCAUGAUAAAGUCACAGAGAUGCUUGUGGUGUUGUAAGAGAAAGGAUCAUGCAUGGAGCAGGAGUGAGAAGCCAGAGCUGGGAGAAAGGUGGAAAUGUGCUCUCCAGUGGAAAUGCUGGCUUCUCCCACUUGGACUGGCGUGGAACAGCGGCAGGAAUAUUCUCCCAGGAAGUUGUGCAACACAAGAUGCAGACAUUUUGGAGAGAAGCUGAAGAAACUUUUUGUAGAUCUCAAGCUGCAGAGGGAGCUCAGGUGCUCAUUUAAAGAUUAUUGUCCAGUUGAAAGCCCAGAUUUCUCCUUACCUGAUGAAGCCUAAUUACUUUAUAAGAGAGCAGUGGGCUAAAUUAGCCCUGGAGGUGCCUGUAUCUCUCCAUUGCCUGCACAAGG